CUUAGUUACGAUCACAAGUUAAUUUUACUACUAAACAACUACCUGAACACAUUCAACUCCUUGAGAUGGCAGAGAUUAUUACGGAAGUAAAACGUCGAAGAGCAUCAAAAAACACCGUUUACCACGCUUUAUACGGGUAUUAUUUCCUCGGCCAUUCCGUAGCUGAGCUGUCCAGAUUAUACGGAAAGCACAAAUCCACUGUUCAUAACUGGAUCAACAUUUAUGAACAAAACGGACUCU